rnacentral:pre_miRNA from 1 species
UUUCCUAGCGGGAACCCAUUCUGUGACUGCCUUCAUACAACCAUCGGCAUCACAGUCUGAGUUCUUGCUCGGCGA